rnacentral:rRNA from 1 species
CCUACGGGAGGCAGCAGUGGGGAAUCUUGCGCAAUGGGCGAAAGCCUGACGCAGCAACGCCGCGUGCGGGAAGAAGGCUUUCGGGCUGUAAACCGCUUUCAGCAGGAACGAAAAUGACGGUACCUGCAGAAGAAGGAGCGGCCAACUAUGUGCCAGCAGCCGCGGUGAUACAUAGGCUUCAAGCGUUGUCCGGAUUUAUUGGGCGUAAAGAGUUCGUAGGCGGUCAAGUAAGUCGGGUGUGAAAAUUCUGGGCUCAACCCAGAGACGCCACCCGAUACUGCUUAACUUGAGUUCGAUAGGGGAGUGGGGAAUUCCUAGUGUAGCGGUGAAAUGCGCAGAUAUUAGGAGGAACACCGGUGGCGAAGGCGCCACUCUGGAUCGAUACUGACGCUGAGGAACGAAAGCAUGGGUAGCAAACAGGAUUAGAUACCCUGGUAGUCCAUGCCGUAAACGGUGGGCACUAGGUGUGGGUUUCUAUUAACGAAAUCCGCGCCGUCGCUAACGCAUUAAGUGCCCCGCCUGGGGAAGUCGGUCGCAAGCUUAAAACNCAAAGAGUAGUAACGGCGUGUUAGAGUAGCGACGACGACGACGAGGAGGAGG